GAUGAACGCUGGCGGCGUGCCUAAUACAUGCAAGUCGAGCGAACGGACGAGAAGCUUGCUUCUCUGAUGUUAGCGGCGGACGGGUGAGUAACACGUGGAUAACCUACCUAUAAGACUGGGAUAACUUCGGGAAACCGUAGCUAAUACCGGAUAAUAUUUUGAACCGCAUGGUUCAAAAGUGAAAGACGGUCCUGCUGUCACUUAUAGAUGGACCCGCGCUGCAUUAGCUAGUUGGUAAGGUAACGGCUUACCAAGGCAACGAUGCAUAGCCGACCUGAGAGGGUGAUCGGCCACACUGGAACUGAGACACGGUCCAGACUCCUACGGGAGGCAGCAGUAGGGAAUCUUCCGCAAUGGGCGAAAGCCUGACGGAGCAACGCCGCGUGAGUGAUGAAGGUCUUCGGAUCGUAAAACUCUGUUAUUAGGGAAGAACAUAUGUGUAAGUAACUGUGCACAUCUUGACGGUACCUAAUCAGAAAGCCACGGCUAACUACGUG
rnacentral:rRNA from 1 species